rnacentral:rRNA from 1 species
UACGAAGGGGGCUAGCGUUGCUCGGAAUCACUGGGCGUAAAGCGCACGUAGGCGGAUCUUUAAGUCAGGGGUGAAAUCCUGGAGCUCAACUCCAGAACUGCCUUUGAUACUGGAGAUCUCGAGUCCGGAAGAGGUGAGUGGAACUCCGAGUGUAGAGGUGAAAUUCGUAGAUAUUCGGAAGAACACCAAUUGCGAAGGCAGCUCGCUGGGACGUUACUGACGCUGAGACGCGAAAGCGUGGGGAGCAAACAGG